CCCCUUCUACGGGGGGCAGCAGUUGAGAAUCAUUCACAAUGGGGGAAACCCUGAUGGUGCGACGCUGCGUGGGGGGAUGAAGGUCUUCGGAUUGUAAACCCCUGUCAUGUGGGAGCAAAUUAAAAAGAUAGUACCACAAGAGGAAGAGACGGCUAACUCUGUGCCAGCAGCCGCGGUAAUACAGAGGUCUCAAGCGUUGUUCGGAAUCACUGGGCGUAAAGCGUGCGUAGGCUGUUUCGUAAGUCGUGUGUGAAAGGCGCGGGCUCAACCCGCGGACGGCACGUGAUACUGCGAGACUAGAGUAA
rnacentral:rRNA from 1 species